UACGGGGGGUGCGAGCGUUGUCCGGAAUCACUGGGCGUAAAGGGCGCGUAGGUGGUCUUGAUAAGGGUGUGGUGAAAGGUCCGGGGACUCAACCCCGGAUCUGCCGUGCCGACUGUCAGACUCGAGGACUGUAGAGGCAGGCGGAAUUCCGGGUGUAGCGGUGGAAUGCGUAGAGAUCCGGAGGAAGACCGGUGGCGAAGGCGGCCUGCUGGGCAGUUACUGACACUGAGGCGCGACAGCGUGGGGAGCAAACAGG
rnacentral:rRNA from 1 species